rnacentral:tRNA from 1 species
GCCGAAGUGGUGGAAUGGUAGACGCGCCGGACUCAAAAUCCGGUACUGGAGACAGUGUGUGGGUUCGAGUCCCACCUUCGGCA